GCAGGGUACUGGGGCACCUCGAACUGUGGCACCUCACCCUUCUCCGGGGCCACGUCUUGGGGACUCCGACAGCCCCAAAUAAGCCCUCGGGGACUGGGGUUGUGAAAAGCGAGGUCGUGAAGACGCCGGCCUCAUACCGAAGGGUAGGACGGUGAGGUCAGCCCCGUCCCACUCCAACUAAAAUCAACCUGACAGUCGCGGUGGCUCACGCCUGUAAUCCCUGCACUUUGGGAGGCCGAGGCGGGAGGAUCACCUGAGGUCAAGAGUUCGAGACCAGCCUCACCAACAUGAUGAAACCUCGUCUCUACUAAAAAUACAAAAUAUUAGCCGGACGUGGUGGCAGACGCCUUUAAUCCCAGCUACUCGGGAGGCUGAGGCAGGAGAAUCACUUGAACCUGGGAGGCAAAGGUUGCAGUGAGCCGAGAUUGCGUCACUGUACUCCAGCCUGGGCAACAAGAGCAAAACUCUGUCUCAAAAAAAAAAAAAAAAAAAAGAAAGAAACUGUGAUAUAUAUAAAUAUAUAUUUAUAUAUUUAUAUAUGGAAUGGAAUGCUACGUGGUCACAAAAAGGAAUGAAUGAAUGGCAUUUUCAGCAACCUGGAUGGGAUUGAAGACUAUUAUUCUAAGUGAAGUAACUCAGGAAUGGAAAACAAAACAUCAUAUGUUCUCACUCCUAAGUGAGAGCUAAGCUAUGAGGAUGCAAAGGCAUAAGAAUGACACAAUGGACUAUGGGGACUCAGGGAAAGGGUGGAAGGGGGUGAGGGAUAAAAGAUUACAAAUUGGGUUCAGUGUAUACUACUCGGCGAUGGUUGCACCAAAAUCUCACAAAUCACCACUAAAGAACUUACUCAUGUAACCAAAUACCACAUUUCUUAAAACCCUAUGGAAAUAAAAAAUUAAAAAAGAAAAAAGAACCCAACAGUCUUCUAUUAAGCCAGGUGUAAAAGAGAUUUACAAAAAUCUAAAACUAUGCCAUUCUUCUCACUAAUAUUUUAUUUUUGAAAAUAUAGCUAUAGGCCGGGUGCGGUGGCUUACUCCUGUAAUCCCACCACUUUGGGAGGCCCUGGUGGGUAGAUCACAAGUUCAGGAGUUUGAGACCAGCCUGACCAACAUGGUGAAACACCAUCUCUACUAAAAAUACAAAAAUUAGCCAGGCAUGGUGGCGCGUGCCUGUAAUCCCAGCUACUCAGGAGGCUGAGGCAGGAGAAUCGCUUGAACUCGCAAGGUGGAGGUUGC
rnacentral:lncRNA from 1 species